rnacentral:rRNA from 1 species
CUUUAAACCUAAAGAAUUUGGCGGUAUUUUAUUCUUUAUAGAGGAAUCUGUUAUGUAAACGAUAUUACACGAUAAAUGACCUUGAUUUUAAAGUAUGUAUAUCGCCGUUAUCAGAAGAUCUUUAUAGAGUUAUUUUCUUUAUUUUAUAAAUAAAAUUAUUUCAGGUCAAGGUGCAGCUUAUAAUUAAGAGUUAAAUGGAUUACAAUUUUAAUUAAUAAUACGGAUAUUAGAAUGUAAAAAUAAUUGAAGGUGGAUUUAUAAGUAAUUAAAUAUAAUAUAAUAAUUUAAUGAAAAUAGCUCUAAAAUAUGU